UGUGUUUUUUGUAACAGGAUAUAGUCAAACAGAGCUUCUUUCACAUUAUAAAAUACAUUAAUUGAAUACCAACUGUACGAUCUAAUUUAUGCAUGAUUUAUUAUCCAUUGAAUAUGUAGGCUAUACAACAAAUGGUAGGUGCACUAUGUUUAUAUAAAUGUUCUCUAGUCUUCUGACCACUCAAAGCUCUUUUCCAUUGCAUGUUACAUUCACCCAUUCACACCAAAUUCACACACUAAUGGCAGAGGCUGCUGUGCGGAGAGCACAUCAGUUUUUGACUAAUCCCAUUUAAACACCACUGGUUGCAGGUUAAACGUCUUGUCCAAGGACACCUCAGCAUGUGAAAGGCAACCUGGAAUCGAACCCCGACCUUCCGACUGGGAGACUGUUGACUCUACCAAUGAGUCGCUGCCAGCCCAACAGAAGGUGUCCUCCGGUGUACUGCACUGGUGAAAAAGGCUGGCUCUGUGGUAGGACUCAAGAUGGACUCAGAGGAGGAUGUGGUUAAGAGAUCUACACUGAGGAAGGUGGAGACUAUUCUAAAGAACAUGGAUCACCCACUUCACCCACAACACCUUGAUGGACCAAAGGGCCAAUGGUGGUGGACGGCUCCUCUCUCUUCGCUGCAGGACAGAAAGAUUCAGAGGAUCUUUUGCACCAACAGCCACCAGGCUUUAUAACUCUUGUGUAAAUAGUAGAUAACUUUUAGAGACAUGUCAAGUGAGACAACCGACAUGUGAAUUUUUCUUCCUCUUCUUCUUCUUCUUCUUCUUCUUCUUCUUCCAGUCAUCUUUCCGAUUAUAUGAUUUGAUACAGCAACAACCUGUUCUAGGUGUUAAUGAUCAUCCUCUGGACAACUGUAAGGUCAGCAGACUUUCACAUGAUUGUGGUGGUGUGUUCUGAACCUAAGUGAGA